rnacentral:lncRNA from 1 species
CAAGUUGUUCUAGGCACUACUUCAUACGAAAAUUGGUAAGUGCUUAUAGAUAACUUGUCAUUCUUUUGGGGAUAUCUCAACACAUUUGAGAAAUAGUCUUGAUCUAUGCAAGUUUCUUUUAAAGACUCCUCUUUUGUGCUCAUGCUUGCAAGUGUUCCUUUACAAUAGGUAAGGCUAGGUUGUUCAACAAGAAGCAUGUUUGCAAGGUUAUUU